rnacentral:rRNA from 1 species
UUAAUAUUUAUUUAUUAAUUUUUAUAUUUUAUAAUUUAAAGUAUUAAAAAUAAUUAUAAUAUUUAAUGUUUAAGUAUUUUUUAAAGAAUAAAUAAUUUUAAUAAUAGUGUAUUAGUAUUGUGAAAGAAAAUUGAAAUAAUUUGAAAAAUUUUUAUUUUAAAAGAAAAUUUCAUUUAUUGUACCUUGUGUAUCAGGGUUUAUUAAAUAAAAAAUAAUUAUUUAUUUUUCUCGAUUUUAAAAGAGUUAAUAAGUUAUAAAAGUUAAUGUAGCAAAAUUAUUUUUAAUAGCUUAUUAGAAAUGAAAUGUUAUUCGUUUUUGAAGGUAUCUAGUUUUUUUAGAAAUAAAUUUAAUUUAGAAAUUUUGAAUUUAUUUAAUUAGUUGAAUAAUUAAAUAAUUUUUUAAUUUUAAUAUUUUAUGGGAUAAGCUAUAAAAUAAAAUUUUAUAAAUAGUAAAUAAUUUAAUAAAAUGUAUGCUUAGAAUUAGCAAUCAUUUGUAAGUGUGUUAUAAUUUAUUUUAUAUUUUAAAUUAUUUAUUUUAUUUUAAGUUUUUAUAAAAAUAUUUAUUAUAAUUUUAAAAAUAAAGUAAUAAUGAUAGAAUUAGUAUAUAUUUAAUGUAAAAGUAAAUUUAUUUGAAAAGUUUAUGUAAAGAAUUCGGCAAAAUUUUAUGCCCGCCUGUUUAACAAAAACAUGUCUUUUUGAAAUUAAUUUAAAGUCUAACCUGCCCACUGAAUAAUUUUAAAUGGCCGCAGUAUACUAACUGUGCAAAGGUAGCAUAAUCAUUAGUCUCUUAAUUGGAGGCUGGUAUGAAUGGUUGGACGAGGUAUAAACUGUUUCAUAUAAAAUUUUUAUAGAAUUUUAUUUUUUAGUCAAAAAGCUAAAAUUUAAUUAAAAGACGAGAAGACCCUAUAAAUCUUUAUAUUUAUUUAUAUUUUAAUUAUUAAGAAGUUUUUUGUUAUUAUAUAAAUAAAUAUUUUAUUGGGGUGAUAUUAAAAUUUAAUGAACUUUUAAUUUGUAAAAUCAUUAAUUUAUGAAUAAUUGAUCCGUCAUUGACGAUUAAAAAUUUAAGUUACUUUAGGGAUAACAGCGUAAUUUUUCUGGAGAGUUCAUAUCGAUAGAAAAGAUUGCGACCUCGAUGUUGGAUUAAGAUAUAAUUUUAGGUGUAGCCGCUUAAAUUUUAAGUCUGUUCGACUUUUAAAUUCUUACAUGAUCUGAGUUCAAACCGGCGUAAGCCAGGUUGGUUUCUAUCUUUAAUUAAUUAAAAUAUUUUAGUACGAAAGGACCAAAUAUUUGGAUAAUUAUAUUUUAUUUUAUGAAUAUAAAUAAUUU